GAUGAACGCUAGCGGCAGGCUUAACACAUGCAAGUCGAGGGGUAGAGGAAGCUUGCUUCCUUGAGACCGGCGCACGGGUGCGUAACGCGUAUACAAUCUACCUUUUACAGAGGGAUAGCCCCAGAGAAAUUUGGAUUAAUACCUCAUAGUAUUUUCGGAUCGCAUGAUUUGAUUAUUAAAGUUCCAACGGUAAAGAUGAGUAUGCGUCCCAUUAGCUAGAUGGUAAGGUAACGGCUUACCAAGGCUACGAUGGGUAGGGGUCCUGAGAGGGAGAUCCCCCACACUGGUACUGAGACACGGACCAGACUCCUACGGGAGGCAGCAGUGAGGAAUAUUGGACAAAUGGGGCGCAAGCCUGAUCCAGCCAUGCCGCGUGCAGGAUGACGGUCCUAUGGAUUGUAAACUGCUUUUAUACAGGAAGAAACACUCCGACGUGUCGGAGCUUGUAACGGGUACCUAGUAAGAAAUAAGGAUCGGCUAACUCCGUG
rnacentral:rRNA from 1 species